rnacentral:rRNA from 1 species
UAGGGAAUCUUCGGCAAUGGGGGGAACCCUGACCGAGCAACGCCGCGUGAGUGAAGAAGGUUUUCGGAUCGUAAAGCUCUGUUGUUAAGGAAGAACGAGUGUGAGAAUGGAAAGUUCAUGCUGUGACGGUACUUAACCAGAAAGGGACGGCUAACUACGUGCCAGCAGCCGCGGUAAUACGUAGGUCCCGAGCGUUGUCCGGAUUUAUUGGGCGUAAAGCGAGCGCAGGCGGUCAAUUAAGUCUGAUGUGAAAGCCCCCGGCUCAACCGGGGAGGGUCAUUGGAAACUGGUUGACUUGAGGGCAGAAGAGGAGAGUGGAAUUCCAUGUGUAGCGGUGAAAUGCGUAGAUAUAUGGAGGAACACCAGUGGGGAAGGCGACUCUCUGGUCUGUAACUGACGCUGAGGCUCGAAAGCGUGGGUAGCAAACAGG